AGCGAACGCUGGCGGCAGGCCUAACACAUGCAAGUCGAACGAACCUUUCGGGGUCAGUGGCGGACGGGUGAGUAACCCGAGGGAACGUGCCCUUAGGUUCGGCCUAACUCAGGGAAACUUGUGCUAAUACCGAAUGUGCCCUUCGGGGGAAAGAUUUAUCGCCUCUAGAGCGGCCCGCGUCAGAUUAGCUAGUUGGUUGAGGUAAUGGCUCACCAAGGCGACGAUCAGUAGCUGGUCUGAGAGGAUGGUCAGCCACAUUGGGACUGAGACACGGCCCAAACUCCUACGGGAGGCAGCAAUGGGGAAUCUUGCGCAAUGGGCGAAAGCCUGACGCAGCCAUGCCGCGUGAAUGAUGAAGGUCUUAGGAUUGUAAAAUUCUUUCACCGAGGACGAUAAUGACGGUACCCGGAGAAGAAGCCCCGGCUAACUUCGUG
rnacentral:rRNA from 1 species